UACGUAGGGAGCAAGCGUUGUCCGGAUUUACUGGGUGUAAAGGGUGCGUAGGCGGCUUUGCAAGUCAGAUGUGAAAUCUAUGGGCUUAACCCAUAAACUGCAUUUGAAACUGUAGAGCUUGAGUGAAGUAGAGGCAGGCGGAAUUCCCCGUGUAGCGGUGAAAUGCGUAGAGAUGGGGAGGAACACCAGUGGCGAAGGCGGCCUGCUGGGCUUUAACUGACGCUGAGGCACGAAAGCGUGGGUAGCAAACAGG
rnacentral:rRNA from 1 species